rnacentral:pre_miRNA from 14 species
GCCGCCCGGCCGCCCUGGGCUCCGCCUCCCGUACCUACUGAGCUGAAACACAGUUGAUGUCGUGGACACUGGCUCAGUUCAGCAGGAACAGGAGUCGAGCCCGCUUGGACGCUGGCGGCCG